rnacentral:rRNA from 1 species
GCAUUAACAGGUGUGACGCAGGAAGGUAGCCGGGCCGGGCAAUGGAAAUGACCUGGUCUAAGGGUGUAGGGCUGCCGGUAGGUAAAUCCGCCGGCUGUAUGCCUGAGACUGAUGGGCGCCCACAUGUGGGUGAUCCGGUGAUCCUAUGCUGCCUAGAAAAGCAUCGGCGCGAGGUUCAAACUGCCCGUACCCUAAACCGACACAGGUGGUCAGGUAGAGAAUACUAAGGCGAUCGAGAGAAUCAUGGUUAAGGAACUCGGCAAAAUGCCCCCGUAACUUCGGGAGAAGGGGCCCCAACCUUGAGCACCACUCGCUGGUGUGAGGGGAUCGGGGCCGCAGAGACCAGGGGGAAGCGACUGUUUAUCAAAAACACAGGUCCAUGCGAAGUCGUAAGAGAUGUAUAUGGACUGAC